rnacentral:rRNA from 1 species
AUUGAACGCUGGCGGCAGGCCUAACACAUGCAAGUCGAGCGGAUGAAGGGAGCUUGCUCCUGGAUUCAGCGGCGGACGGGUGAGUAAUGCCUAGGAAUCUGCCUGGUAGUGGGGGAUAACGUCCGGAAACGGGCGCUAAUACCGCAUACGUCCUGAGGGAGAAAGUGGGGGAUCUUCGGACCUCACGCUAUCAGAUGAUCCUAGGUCGGAUUAGCUAGUUGGUGGGGUAAAGGCCUACCAAGGCGACGAUCCGUAACUGGUCUGAGAGGAUGAUCAGUCACACUGGAACUGAGACACGGUCCAGACUCCUACGGGAGGCAGCAGUGGGGAAUAUUGGACAAUGGGCGAAAGGCUGAUCCAGCCAUGCCGCGUGUGUGAAGAAGGUCUUCGGAUUGUAAAGCACUUUAAGUUGGGAGGAAGGGCAGUAAGUUAAUACCUUGCUGUUUUGACGUUACCAACAGAAUAAGCACCGGCUAACUUCGUG